GCCAGACUCCUACGGGAGGCAGCAGUGGGGGAUAUUGCACAAUGGGGGAAACCCUGAUGCAGCGACGCCGCGUGAGUGAAGAAGUAUUUCGGUAUGUAAAGCUCUAUCAGCAGGGAAGAAAAAAGACGGUACCUGACUAAGAAGCCCCGGCUAACUACGUGCCAGCAGCCGCGGUAAUACGUAGGGGGCAAGCGUUAUCCGGAUUUACUGGGUGUAAAGGGAGCGUAGACGGCAAUACAAGUCGGAAGUGAAAUACCCGGGCUCAACCUGGGAACUGCUUUGGAAACUGUAUGGCUGGAGUGCUGGAGAGGUAAGCGGAAUUCCUAGUGUAGCGGUGAAAUGCGUAGAUAUUAGGAGGAACACCAGUGGCGAAGGCGGCUUACUGGACAGUAACUGACGUUGAGGCUCGAAAGCGUGGGGAGCAAACAGGAUUAGAUACCCUAGUAC
rnacentral:rRNA from 1 species